UACGUAGGGUGCGAGCGUUAAUCGGAAUUACUGGGCGUAAAGCGUGCGUAGGUGGUUCGUUGUGUCUGUGGUGAAAGCCCCGGGCUUAACCUGGGAAUGGCCAUGGAAACUGGCGAGCUGGAGUGUGGCAGAGGAGGGUGGAAUUCCGCGUGUAGCAGUGAAAAUGCGUAGAGAUCAUGAGGAAGACCAGUGGCGAAAGGCGGGGUCUCUGGACAGUUUCCUGACACUGAGACACGAAGGCCAGGGGAGCAAACGGG
rnacentral:rRNA from 1 species